GCAUGUUUUCCAAAGAAAAAUGAGUCCAUGGUAGAACUUCAGACAUUAUCACGAAGCAAUGAAAUAAGUGUGGCAGGGCAC